rnacentral:rRNA from 1 species
GAUGAACGCUGGCGGCGUGCCUAAUACAUGCAAGUCGAGCGAACGGACGAGAAGCUUGCUUCUCUGAUGUUAGCGGCGGACGGGUGAGUAACACGUGGAUCACCUACCUAUAAGACUGGGAUAACUUCGGGAAACCGUAGCUAAUACCGGAUAAUAUUUUGAACCGCAUGGUUCAAAAGUGAAAGACGGUCUUGCUGUCACUUAUAGAUGGAUCCGCGCUGCAUUAGCUAGUUGGUAAGGUAACGGCUUACCAAGGCAACGAUGCAUAGCCGACCUGAGAGGGUGAUCGGCCACACUGGAACUGAGACACGGUCCAGACUCCUACGGGAGGCAGCAGUAGGGAAUCUUCCGCAAUGGGCGAAAGCCUGACGGAGCAACGCCGCGUGAGUGAUGAAGGUCUUCGGAUCGUAAAACUCUGUUAUUAGGGAAGAACAUAUGUGUAAGUAACUGUGCACAUCUUGACGGUACCUAAUCAGAAAGCCACGGCUAACUACGUG